rnacentral:misc_RNA from 1 species
AGUUCGCGGGAGAGUAGGUUAUUGCCAGGGUUUUUAUUUUUUUUAAUGUUUAUGUUAUUUGAAUAAGCCAUUCAAAUAACAUAAAAAAGAAAAUAGAUAUUGACAUGGAUUAAACAAAGAUAUAUAUUAUUCUAUGUUGCAUAAACAAAUUGGCAAAGUAGAGAUGGAAGAUAAAAAUAUGGUCAAAGUAAUAAGAGUCUAUGGUGAAUGCCUAGGAGCUUUAAGGCGAAGAAGGUCGUGGUAAGCUGCGAAAAGCUUGGGGGAGAAGCAAACAUUUAUUGAUCCCAAGAUUACCGAAUGGAGUAAUCCAGCUAGCAAGAUGCUAGCUAUCUAUUAUCUAAAUAAUAGAGGCGAUACCAGGGGAAGUGAACCAUCUAAGUACCCUGAA